GGCGACGUCGCCAAGCGGUAAGGCAGAGGUCUGCAAAAUCUCCAUCACCAGUUCAAAUCUGGUCGUCGCCUCCA
rnacentral:tRNA from 21 species